rnacentral:rRNA from 1 species
UGGGGAAUAUUGGACAAUGGGCGAAAGCCUGAUCCAGCCAUGCCGCGUGUGUGAAGAAGGUCUUCGGAUUGUAAAGCACUUUAAGUUGGGAGGAAGGGCAUUAACCUAAUACGUUAGUGUUUUGACGUUACCGACAGAAUAAGCACCGGCUAACUCUGUGCCAGCAGCCGCGGUAAUACAGAGGGUGCAAGCGUUAAUCGGAAUUACUGGGCGUAAAGCGCGCGUAGGUGGUUUGUUAAGUUGGAUGUGAAAUCCCCGGGCUCAACCUGGGAACUGCAUUCAAAACUGACAAGCUAGAGUAUGGUAGAGGGUGGUGGAAUUUCCUGUGUAGCGGUGAAAUGCGUAGAUAUAGGAAGGAACACCAGUGGCGAAGGCGACCACCUGGACUGAUACUGACACUGAGGUGCGAAAGCGUGGGGAGCAAACAGGAUUAGAUACCCCCGUAGUCCCUGAGCGGGCUGGCAAGGCGCAU